GUGGUGUUCAUUUAAUUAUCAUCUGUUUGUUAGAAGAGGUAACUGUACAUUAUGUUCACAACUAAUCGAGUCCAUGGCUAUUAUGUCAUCAUGUCAGGAAACAUGACACCAGAUGGAUGAGCAUGGUACUGGAGCAGCAGCCUAAGUGCUCCCUGACACCUAUCAUAUGCAAGGAAAGAAGUUUGAGUAUUUGAGGAUCCAGUUUCCUCCUGCAGAAAUCCAUCUACACCUUCAGAGAUAAAUGCAAUCUCAAUGGGCAGGCAUGC